GGUUUGUUUGGACUUCUAAGGCACAACACCUCUAUGCAACCUGCAUCAUUAUGCUCACUUAAUUUGCUUUCUCUAACUGUUUUCUUGACAGGUAGAAUUUGUAAUGUGCAGUUAUAUGACAGAUUUUACCCAACACCACUGUUUUUUUCCUGAUACAUAUAGGUUAUUGGCAAACUUUUCCAGCCUCACACUGUUCCAUACAAUGGAGAGAUUUUAAGGUGGAUUAGAUCAGAACUGUUACAUUUGGCACUGUGAUGUUCUCACAACUGUUUUUAUCAGUGGAAAUCAUGCCCUGGAAGAUAGGGUAAUCUUGCAGCCUUGUAGUUUCCAUAAAGGAAUGCUCUGGCCUUGUUAAAGUCAAGGGGAGCUUUUGUCAUUGACUUCAGCUGCUAAAAUGUCAUCAUCAAAUUUAAAUGUUUUGAAGAGUGGCCACCAUUCUUGUAAAACACUUCCUUAAACUAUUUCUACUUCUGAAAAGCUCCAUGCUAUGAGCUUGAUCCUUUUGUACUUAACAUAUCCCCAAACUGCAUGGGGGACAGUGUAACGCAUGCUGGAAGGCAUUUCUCACCAUAGCAGCCCUUGUCAGAGCAUCAUACCUACCGAGUCACAGGUUUCAAGAGCAAGAUGAAAAGUUUACAUUGAAGACUGAAUCAAAGUAGAAUACUAGCUCCAGAAAAGGACUUUAAAUCAUCUCUAUUAACACACUUAAAGGUUAUGUUUAGAUUUAAGCAAAGAAAUAUAAUAUUUACUUAGUAUGCUCAGAACCUAAAAACUGCAACAAAAAUAGAAACAAAUCAAGUGGACUUACUGUGUAUUAUUUCACAGUUCAAAAUUAUCCUGGUGUGUUCUUAAUGGAACAUGAAUUUAAAUAUUCACUGUUUAGUUUAAACAGAGAUUUUUAGCUUUUAAUAUAGCAACUUUUUUGGACUGCAUGUGAGCUUUUUAAAGCAACUAUAGCCUCACAAUUUGUAAAUUGUGUGAUUUUACUAAAGACUAUCUGAAGUAAUUCACAGUCCCUACUUUCAAGACAGUCAUUGAGUUCUUAGUUCAUAACCAAAAUUUAACAUCUAGUUAAGUGAUGAUUUUAGGAGGAUUAGAUCAAGUAAAGCUACUCUGCUGUAUAAUACCAGUUUAUUAAGAGAUAAUAGAAUGCUGCUGAUGAGGCUAAUCAAAAUGGAUUCAUAUGGUUACUUGGUAUUUCUUUCAAACCUGACUGCAUAGUAAGAAACUUUGAGUUUAAUGUUAGUUGCUCAGCACAGUGGUGACAAAUCUGUGUAAGAAAAACCAGUUCACCCAGUAUGACUAAGGCAAAGUAGGUGACAACUCCAUUGCUACCCACUUUGCCUAAUCAUUUAAACUGUGCAAAAUAAGGGUGACAGCACUUUCUCCCUAUUCGAUGCUGGGAUAUAUAACUACACGGUACAGUGGAAAAGCAAGCUCUCUGCUUUAUAGUCAGGUCAGAAAACAAAUGGCCUGGGUAGCCAUUGCGCCCAAUGCACAGCUGUAAUCUGGCUAUGCUGCAGGGUGGUUGGUGCAACACCAAGCCCAGGCCACUGAAUCCUCUGGAGCGGUGUGGGGUAUUGCUCCACUCAGCUCUGUGAGCAUCCGUGGAGUGCAGGACUUGACCAUCUCUAUCCGAGGGACAGGUCUUCUGGGGCUCACACCUAGUUUUUGUACAGUCACGUGUUAGAACCACUAAAGCUUAGUUGUCAUAGUGAUAGUGACUGCUAAAUUCAGUACUUGGGACUUUGGAGGAGGCAUAAGUCAAGAUAAAUGUUUAGAAAAUAUGAAGAAGCUAUAGAUGUCUCAUGCCAUUCGCCUUAGGGCAUCCUACUGCUGCCACUCCAGAAGACUGCAAGUCCAUAGGGACUGUGUGACGUACCUGCCAGCUUCAUAAAGGGCAACAGACACCUACACAUAGGAAACUGAGUCCUCUGUUACCUGUCUUGUUCCAUUGGACCCUCAUGAACUUCACAAACUACAUAUUUUGUUUUGAAAUUUAUCUCCCUUAAAAUAUGCCAGUGUAAUUAUCACAACCAGUUUCAUUUUUUGAGUUUAUAUUUUCAGGGGGAAGCUGGAUAAAAGCACAGAAUUGUAAAAUACAUCAGUGGGUGCUUGUGUGUAGCUAAGGUUUAUGUAAGCCAGAGUUUCAUACACAGAUGCAAGACACCAUUUGACUACUGUUACUGCUAUAACAGAUCACGAUUUCUCAUUUUUUAAUUUCUUCAUAUUUUAAUGUUGAUGUUAAAAGAUAGACUCUUUAAUCCAUUGCUGCCUCUAAUGUUUUUGCCAUGACAAAAUUGUGCUCUCAUUUUUGAUUAAUUGGUUUUUCCUACCAUUUUCUACAAAUGUCAGAAGACCAACUGAGGCACGCAUUUGGAUUUCAGCUGUGUAAACAAAUACUAUGUCAGUACUCUAGUUUACCCUUUUCACAGCUGCCACGAGCAGUUUAAAGUGUACGGUCUAGGGAUUUGUUAGUGAUAAAUAUGCCGCUGGCGUCGCAGGUGAGGGCGGUUGCUUCCUUUUGCAAAAAAGCUCCAGUCGUGACAGUGGCAGUGUCAGAAGCACAGCCGUACCCAAACCCACGCUGGGGAUCUCCUUUGCUUCGGCCCCUGUGUGAGCCCAUCUUUCCUCAGCAGAUCCAUGUAACUGAGAAGGAAAGGACAGUCUACCUUUUGGGAAAUACUGUCUCAGAGUGUCUGCAGGCUCAGAUGGGAAACAAAUGCCUUUGAGUAGCAAAGUCAAGGUUUUUGUUUGUUAUCCCAUGUGUGAAGAUCAGGAUAUUUUUUUGUUUCACUUUUUAAAAAUGGAGGCAGAAUUUAUUUUCCUUUUGCUGACCUGAAUGUUACCUUUUCCCAACAGUUUUUCUCUUCUUUUGCAUUGUUUGCAUGCCUCUGAAUUUCCUGUGUGUGCAUUCUUUGUAGCAAAGAUUCAGAAGCACUGUUAGAAAAUUUCUUUCAAAAAUGACUUAUCAGUUUAAUGAGUUAGAUCCUUGAAAGCUGAAAAUCAGUGCAUUAAAGCCAAUUUCCAGCAGUUACAGAAGACAUUUCCCUAAAAAUCCUUUACACAAUUUGAAAAGACUUGGCACAUUCUUUGACUGGUUGAAAAGCGAGUUACUAACAUUUCAGAAAUACAGAGCUCAACAAAGGAAAAGCACAAGGUCAUUUAUAUUUUCUCUGAUGAAAAUGAGGCCAAAUUCAUGACCAGCAUAAUCAGGUUCAGGCCCACUGACUUUAGCAGACCUCACUGAUGCCAAGUGUCAGGCUGGCUCAUUGAAAAUAAUACCAUGGUCCCCCUUUGAUCUAUGUUACCACUAACAAAACCUGUGCAUGUAUAGAAAGGUCACUCUCAAAUUCUCUAUAGAUACCAGACACUUCCACCACCCCAGUCGAGCUGCUCACUGGACUAGGCACUAAUGUCUCAAAACAUUUUCAUAUACCAGGUGAAAUGACAAAAUCAAGGUAAGAAAACAUGACUUCUUUGCUGUUUCACUAAGUAAUUGCCUUCAUUAAAAUUAAAAUGUCUCCCCUCUUUAUUUGAUGAGAUGUGUAAAUCUUUAUAACUUGUAUUUUUAUCUAUGUUGUAUAUGUAAGGCAUUACCACUGAUCUGCUUAUGGCAUUUUUCUUCACAAGACAGGUGAAAAAUAUGAUCCCCCACAUCAUCAAACUGGUCUCUUGCUUUUCACAGGUGAGAGAAAGUAUCGCAGGAAAGGCAGGUUAACACAAGUUAUAUAUGCAGUAAGUUUUCUGCAUAUACUAUGUCUUAUGCAGGAAGCACGAUAAUGUCUUGUAGAAUAAAGUCUCAAUUAAGGACAGGAGAAUUGUCAAAGUUCUUUUAAGUUUAGUCUCCAAGUUAUUGAAUCAGAUUCCUUUCUGGAGUCUCACUGAAAAGUUCAUCAUGAUUUGUCACUGCUGGUGUCAUUUCUGCUCCCAGUGGGCAACUACAUUGGCUUUUCCAAUACUGAGGGGACUGGGAAACAGCACACAGGGUAUAGGUUCCCAAGAAGCAGGAAAGAGUCUAGCGGUUGGGCUGGGAAAGGCUGGUGUGGUAUUUGAAACAUCAUUUUCUCCUUUUCUGUUUAAGUUUUGAACUAAUGGAGAAGUCAUAUCUGUAGGCACAUGAGGUAGCCUGUCUGUGAAUAGCAGACUCACUGAAUUUCAAGCAAAUGUCUUUUCAGAAAUUUUCAUCUUUUUUUAACCCACUGGUUUUGAAAAGUAAUCCAUCCUGCUUAUGGUUCAGAAUGGGAAUAGUAUUGUUACCAGAAAAUAUCAUUCAUCUGAUGUGCUCAACCUGAAUAUCGGGAGUAGUGUAAUGAGAAACUUCACAGAGCUCUCUGGUCCCACUCUGCUGACCUUAAUGGUUUGGAUAGCUUGGAAAGGAUUUUCAUCUUCUACGUCCAAGCUGAACAGCAAUUCUAAACCCUAUGAAUCUGAUUUCUUUGCCUCUUACUGUGCUGAAUGUCCGUAGUAUUUAAUAUGCCGUGAGUUGCAGUGUUAUGAAAUGAAUGCAAUCACAUAUAGCUAAGAAGUCAGUUCUGCACUCACCCGGGAGAGGUUUGGGAGAGAUAUACAUGUGUUUCACAUCUGCUGGUUUCUGGAAUUUUGAUGCAGUGGUCUUUGGCUUGUUCUUUGCCCAUUUCAUAUUGUACCUAUUUAAACUCCAGAUGUGAACAAGAAAAAUUAAUUUCUUCCUAUCCCAUCUUUUAAUACUGUCAGAUGAAUAUGAAUCUCAGCUCUCUGGAAUAUAUUACUGAGAAUUUUUAUUUUGCUUAUUGAUCAUUAUACUGCUAUAGCUGUGAACAUAUACGUGUUUUUAUUUUAGGAUUUUCACAGUAUAUUACCUCUCCUGGGAUGUGAAUUUUCUGUAUGUCAUUUUAUAAUAAAAAAUUGUUGUUAUUUACAUUUUCUUCCUGGCCAUUUUUUUAAUAAUAUGCUGUCCUUUUUAUUAUUCCUAGCUAGAAAAUACCAGCACAAUUUUAUUUGGAACAACUGACAUUUUGAUAGGAAAAAAUACUUAGUUAAGUAUUUUUAAAUUAUUCUUGGUUUGUUUUUCUUUUCUUCGUAAUACCAGAUAUCACCUUUGAUUAAUAACAAUCAUAUAUAGGCUUUGUUCCUCUUAUCUGGGUGUCAGCAGUAAUUGGAAUCCAUAUCCAUAUCCUAACUUGCAAUCAUGCUGCAAAAGGCCAAUAAAUUCCCGCUGAGUGUGUUACUUGUUAAAUUUAGUGCAUUACAUUCAGGGUAAUGAAUAAAAGCAGUGGGCCGUUACUGUCUGGUUGGCAGAGGAGGAGUAAGAACAGUCAGACUCCCCCGAGGCCCCGAGCAGGCUUAAAACUGUGACAGGUAGAAUUGAGGGACUCCCUAAACAUCACAGUUCGGUUUGUCUCCCUUAAUUUCCUCUUCUACCAAGAUUUUAGAGGAAAUGGAAGGAGGUGAGGUAAUCUUCUACUAAAAUAUAAAAUACACUGUGCUUGUACACCGGUACUCCCUAGUGCAGAUUCUCUUCUGGGCAAGUGUGCUAAAAAGUAAUAUAUCUGUGUUAAGCAAUCAGCUGAUGACAGGUUUGACUUUACUUUAAGAGAUGCAUGUAUCAUAUAUAUAUAUGUGUAAAAUGUAAUGUAAUUCUAUAUACAUGUAUUUUUUAAAAAUCCCUAUACAGAUAAAUAUAUUAUUGUAACCAGCCUGUGUUAACUCUCCGUCGGAUCGCUGACUGAUAUAAAUAAAUUCUUUGAUUUC